CAGUCGCCGCGGUAAUACAGAGGGUGCGAGCGUUAAUCGGAUUUACUGGGCGUAAAGCGUGCGUAGGCGGCUUUUUAAGUCGGAUGUGAAAUCCCUGAGCUUAACUUAGGAAUUGCAUUCGAUACUGGGAAGCUAGAGUAUGGGAGAGGAUGGUAGAAUUCCAGGUGUAGCGGUGAAAUGCGUAGAGAUCUGGAGGAAUACCGAUGGCGAAGGCAGCCAUCUGGCCUAAUACUGACGCUGAGGUACGAAAGCAUGGGGAGCAAACAAGAUUAGAUACCCCAGUAGUCCCUGUCUCUUAUAC
rnacentral:rRNA from 1 species